rnacentral:rRNA from 1 species
GACGAACGCUGGCGGCGUGCUUAACACAUGCAAGUCGAACGGAAAGGCCCUGCUUUUGUGGGGUGCUCGAGUGGCGAACGGGUGAGUAACACGUGAGUAACCUGCCCUUGACUUUGGGAUAACUUCAGGAAACUGGGGCUAAUACCGGAUAGGAGCUCCUGCUGCAUGGUGGGGGUUGGAAAGUUUCGGCGGUUGGGGAUGGACUCGCGGCUUAUCAGCUUGUUGGUGGGGUAGUGGCUUACCAAGGCUUUGACGGGUAGCCGGCCUGAGAGGGUGACCGGGCACAUUGGGACUGAGAUACGGCCCAGACUCGUACGGGAGGCAGCAGGGGGGAAUAUUGCACAAUGGGCGGAAGCCUGAUGCAGCAACGCCGCGUGCGGGAUGACGGCCUUCGGGUUGUAAACCGCUUUCGCCUGUGACGAAGCGUGAGUGACGGUAAUGGGUAAAGAAGCACCGGCUAACUACGUG